AUUCACCGCGCGUACGCUCCGGUGCUGAGUGCGCCGCCUACACUCGCCUGACGAUUGCUCGCUAGGUGUUGUUAGCC
rnacentral:sRNA from 1 species